GGAGCCAUAACUGAGUGGCAGAUCAUCUGCUCUGCAUGCAGAAGGCCGCAGGUUCAAUCCCUGGUGCCUCCA